CCUAGGAACAACCCUUGGUCUUGUUUCAGGGCCAUGUUGUCCUGGCACCUGUAAACAGAAAAGAAACAAGUCAAAGAUUAAAUAUAACUGGGUGGCUAAAAGUAGAUCAGGGAAGCAGGGAAGCAAGUGGUGUUUAUUACUCAGCUAUGACAGCACCUGCAGGCUUGUGUUUGAAAAGAGUAUGGAGAGCAUCUGCACCUCCAACAGCACCUGGAGCAACUGCAAGCAAGCAGGCUUAGCUGUGAAGGAAGGGAGCAGGCACGACACAACAGUGACACUGCUUGGCAGCAAGGAACAGAGAGGAGCUGAACCAGGACCCUCCGAAUGACAGCUGUGCUGACAAGCAGUCCUUGGAAGUGUGCGAGGAAAUGAUACGUGCCUGGCAGUCUUGCUGCUGCUCCUCCACUGCUGUGCCCUCUGUGCUGAAGAUCAUAAUGAAAUCCUAAGCAGGCAGAGAACCUCCUAAAAACCAGCAUCCAUUGUCCCUGAGGCCCUGAGCUCUGACAGGUGGUGGAUUGCCUUUCUGCUGGUGUUCAGAUGCCUGCAGUGCAGGAACCAGUAAAGAAGGCAUUCUGCUCCAGCCUGGGGCUACCAGAGAUGGAAUACAGCCUGCUGAUCCCAGCCUUGCAACUCUGGAUGUUACGUACUUCAGACUGAUUAUGGUUUCAGUAGAAACCACACAGAGUGCAGUAUUCACAUGGCCAACUUCCCUGUUAAAGAAAGGAUUGUUCGAUUCACCAUGCACAGUACGACUGGUCAAAAUUAUCUGUGGCUGAACUCCUCCUCACUCAGCAUCUCCUAGGUGACGGUGACUGCACGUACUCCAACAUAUUUUAAAAUAAAAUAUCCCAUGGUUACAAUUACCAGUUGAAUUAUGAGGAUAAUGGCAGUGUUUGGUAUCUCACAUAAAGAACUCCAGGAGGCCACUUGGAUUGUAAAUACUGUGCUUGUUAAUCCAAAUCAAAAAAAAAAAACCCCACAUGGGACAGAAUUUAAAGUGCUGUAUGCAAUAUUUUCAUUUCUCUUGUCUAUCUGAACAGUACAAACACCAAUGGAGC
ensembl:lncRNA